rnacentral:rRNA from 1 species
AAGCGGCAAGAGCUCAGAUUUGAAAUCGUGUUUCGGCACGAGUUGUAGAGUGUAGGCGGGAGUCUCUGUGGAGCGCGGUGUCCAAGUCCCUUGGAACAGGGUGCCUGAGAGGGUGAGAGCCCCGUAGGGUGCUGCGCGAAGCUUUUGAGGCCCUGCUGACGAGUCGAGUUGUUUGGGAAUGCAGCUCCAAGCGGGUGGUAAAUUCCAUCUAAGGCUAAAUAUUGGCGAGAGACCGAUAGCGAACAAGUACUGUGAAGGAAAGAUGAAAAGCACUUUGAAAAGAGAGUGAAACAGCACGUGAAAUUGUUGAAAGGGAAGGGUAUUGGGCUCGACAUGGGGGGUGCGCACCGCUGUCUCUUGUAGGCGGCGCUCUGGGCGCCCUCUGGGCCAGCAUCGGUUC